rnacentral:rRNA from 1 species
CCCUUAGAUGUCCUGGGCUGCACGCGCGCUACACUGAUGUGUCCAGUAAGCACCUAACCUCUUCCGAAAGGAACGGGUAACCUUUGCAAAGCACAUCGUGAUGGGGAUAGAUUAUUGCAAUUAUUAGUCUUGAACGAGGAAUUCCUAGUAAGCACAAGUCAUCAGCUUGUGUUGAUUACGUCCCUGCCCUUUGUACACACCGCCCGUCGCUCCUACCGAUUGAAUGGUCCGGUGAAAUCUUCGGACCGCGCAACGCCGCAAGGUGAUGCGUGGAAAGUUGCUUAAACCUUACCAUUUAGAGGAAGGUGAAGUCGUAACA